CUGCGGCAGCGACACUGUGUGUUGUUGGGUAGGGGAGCGUUCUGUAAGCCUGUGAAGGUGUGCUGUGAGGCAUGCUGGAGGUAUCAGAAGUGCGAAUGCUGACAUAAGUAACGAUAAAGCGGGUGAAAAGCCCGCUCGCCGGAAGACCAAGGGUUCCUGUCCAACGUUAAUCGGGGCAGGGUGAGUCGACCCCUAAGGCGAGGCCGAAAGGCGUAGUCGAUGGGAAACAGGUUAAUAUUCCUGUACUUGGUGUUACUGCGAAGGGGGGACGGAGAAGGCUAUGUUGGCCGGGCAACGGUUGUCCCGGUUUAAGCGUGUAGGCUGGUUUUCCAGGCAAAUCCGGAAAAUCAAGGCUGAGGCGUGAUGACGAGGCACUACGGUGCUGAAGCAACAAAUGCCCUGCUUCCAGGAAAAGCCUCUAAGCAUCAGGUAACAUCAAAUCGUACCCCAAACCGACACAGGUGGUCAGGUAGAGAAUACCAAGGCGCUUGAGAGAACUCGGGUGAAGGAACUAGGCAAAAUGGUGCCGUAACUUCGGGAGAAGGCACGCUGAUAUGUAGGUGAAGUCCCUCGCGGAUGGAGCUGAAAUCAGUCGAAGAUACCAGCUGGCUGCAACUGUUUAUUAAAAACACAGCACUGUGCAAACACGAAAGUGGACGUAUACGGUGUGACGCCUGCCCGGUGCCGGAAGGUUAAUUGAUGGGGUCAGCGCAAGCGAAGCUCUUGAUCGAAGCCCCGGUAAACGGCGGCCGUAACUAUAACGGUCCUAAGGUAGCGAAAUUCCUUGUCGGGUAAGUUCCGACCUGCACGAAUGGCGUAAUGAUGGCCAGGCUGUCUCCACCCGAGACUCAGUGAAAUUGAACUCGCUGUGAAGAUGCAGUGUACCCGCGGCAAGACGGAAAGACCCCGUGAACCUUUACUAUAGCUUGACACUGAACAUUGAGCCUUGAUGUGUAGGAUAGGUGGGAGGCUUUGAAGUGUGGACGCCAGUCUGCAUGGAGCCGACCUUGAAAUACCACCCUUUAAUGUUUGAUGUUCUAACGUGGACCCGUGAUCCGGGUUGCGGACAGUGUCUGGUGGGUAGUUUGACUGGGGCGGUCUCCUCCUAAAGAGUAACGGAGGAGCACGAAGGUUGGCUAAUCCUGGUCGGACAUCAGGAGGUUAGUGCAAUGGCAUAAGCCAGCUUGACUGCGAGCGUGACGGCGCGAGCAGGUGCGAAAGCAGGUCAUAGUGAUCCGGUGGUUCUGAAUGGAAGGGCCAUCGCUCAACGGAUAAAAGGUACUCCGGGGAUAACAGGCUGAUACCGCCCAAGAGUUCAUAUCGACGGCGGUGUUUGGCACCUCGAUGUCGGCUCAUCACAUCCUGGGGCUGAAGUAGGUCCCAAGGGUAUGGCUGUUCGCCAUUUAAAGUGGUACGCGAGCUGGGUUUAGAACGUCGUGAGACAGUUCGGUCCCUAUCUGCCGUGGGCGCUGGAGAACUGAGGGGGGCUGCUCCUAGUACGAGAGGACCGGAGUGGACGCAUCACUGGUGUUCGGGUUGUCAUGCCAAUGGCACUGCCCGGUAGCUAAAUGCGGAAGAGAUAAGUGCUGAAAGCAUCUAAGCACGAAACUUGCCCCGAGAUGAGUUCUCCCUGACCCUUUAAGGGUCCUGAAGGAACGUUGAAGACGACGACGUUGAUAGGCCGGGUGUGUAAGCGCAGCGAUGCGUUGAGCUAACCGGUACUAAUGAACCGUGAGGCUUAACCUU
rnacentral:rRNA from 1 species